rnacentral:rRNA from 1 species
UACGUAGGGGCCUAGCGUUGUCCGGAUUUAUUGGGCGUAAAGAGCUCGUAGGCGGUUUGGUGAGUCGGGUGUGAAAUCUCCACGCUCAACGUGGAGGGGCCACCGAUACUGCCAUGACUAGAGUCCGGUAGGGGAGUGUGGAAUUCCCGGUGUAGCGGUGAAAUGCGCAGAUAUCGGGAGGAACACCAGUAGCGAAAGCGGCACCCUGGCGUCGUACUGACGCACAUGUGGCGAAAGCGUG